rnacentral:rRNA from 1 species
UACGAAGGGGGGCUAGCGUUGUUCGGAAUUACUGGGCGUAAAGCGCGCGCAGGCGGCUCUUCAAGUCAGGGGUGAAAGCCCAGAGCUCAACUCUGGAACUGCCUUUGAGACUGAAGAGCUUGAGUACGGGAGAGGUGAGUGGAAUUCCCAGUGUAGAGGUGAAAUUCGUAGAUAUUGGGAAGAACACCGGUGGCGAAGGCGGCUCACUGGCCCGGUUACUGACGCUCAGGCGCGACAGCGUGGGGAUCAAACAGG